rnacentral:rRNA from 1 species
GUCUGAUGGAGCACGCCGCGUGAGUGAAGAAGGUUUUCGGAUCGUAAAACUCUGUUGUGAGGGAAGAACAAGUACGAGAGUAACUGCUCGUACCUUGACGGUACCUCAUUAGAAAGCCACGGCUAACUACGUGCCAGCAGCCGCGGUAAUACGUAGGUGGCAAGCGUUGUCCGGAAUUAUUGGGCGUAAAGCGCGCGCAGGCGGUCCUUUAAGUCUGAUGUGAAAGCCCACGGCUCAACCGUGGAGGGUCAUUGGAAACUGGGGGACUUGAGUGCAGAAGAGGAAAGCGGAAUUCCAAGUGUAGCGGUGAAAUGCGUAGAGAUUUGGAGGAACACCAGUGGCGAAGGCGGCUUUCUGGUCUGUAACUGACGCUGAGGCGCGAAAGCGUGGGGAGCAAACAGGAUUAGAUACCCUGGUAGUCCACGCCGUAAACGAUGAGUGCUAAGUGUUAGGGGGUUUCCGCCCCUUAGUGCUGCAGCUAACGCAUUAAGCACUCCGCCUGGGGAGUACGGUCGCAAGACUGAAACUCAAAGGAAUUGACGGGGGCCCGCACAAGCGGUGGAGCAUGUGUUUAAUUCGAAGCAACGCGAAGAACCUUACCAGGUCUUGACAUCCCGCUGACCGGCCUAGAGAUAGGCUUUCCCUUCGGGACAGCGGUGAAGGUGGUGCAUGUUGUCGUCAGCUCGAUGUCUGAGAUGUUGGUAAGUCCGCAACGAGCGCACCUUGAUCUUAGU